ACGAAGAGAGUCAGGAAGUAACAUUAGACUAGUUAGUCUAACUAAAUGAGGCAUGAGAGGCUGUGGGAAAUCUUUCAUAUUAGUGAAUCAUAGACAACAGGUCUUGUUUAGUACACAGAGAACAGUCUAUUCAAUAUCAGGUCUUGUUUAGUACAGAGAGAACAGUCUAUUAAAUAUCAGGUCUUGUUUAGUACACAGAGAGAACAGUCUAUUCAAUAUCAGGUCUUGUUUAGUACAGAGAGAACAGUCUAUUCAAUAUCAGGUCUUGUUUAGUACACAGAGAACAGUCUAUUCAAUAUCAGGUCUUGUUUAGUACACAGAGAACAGUCUAUUCAAUAUCAGGUCUUGUUUAGUACACAGAGAACAGUCUAUUAAAUAUCAGGUCUUGUUUAGUACACAGAGAACAGUCUAUUAAAUAUCAGGUCUUGUUUAGUACACAGAGAACAGUCUAUUCAAUAUCAGGUCUUGUUUAGUACACAGAGAACAGUCUAUUCAAUAUCAGGUCUUGUUUAGUACAGAGAGAACAGUCUAUUCAAUAUCAGGUCUUGUUUAGUACACAGAGAGAACAGUCUAUUCAAUAUCAGGUCUUGUUUAGUACACAGAGAGAACAGUCUAUUCAAUAUCAGGUCUUGUUUAGUACACAGAGAACAGUCUAUUCAAUAUCAGGUCUUGUUUAGUACACAGAGAACAGUCUAUUCAAUAUCAGGUCUUGUUUAGUACACAGAGAACAGUCUAUUCAAUAUCAGGUCUUGUUUAGUACACAGAGAACAGUCUAUUCAAUAUCAGGUCUUGUUUAGUACAGAGAGAACAGUCUAUUCAAUAUCAGGUCUUGUUUAGUACACAGAGAACAGUCUAUUCAAUAUCAGGUCUUGUUUAGUACACAGAGAACAGUCUAUUCAAUAUCAGGUCUUGUUUAGUACAGAGAGAACAGUCUAUUCAAUAUCAGGUCUUGUUUAGUACACAGAGAACAGUCUAUUCAAUAUCAGGUCUUGUUUAGUACACAGAGAACAGUCUAUUCAAUAUCAGGUCUUGUUUAGUACACAGAGAACAGUCUAUAUUCAACAACAGUCUAAGCAGGUCAUGUACAUACAGGUAUGUGUUCUGUAUUACCUGUGUCUGAGGAGGACAUGUAUGUGUUCUGUCUUACCUGUGUCUGAGGAAGAGGAGGACAGGUAUGUGUUCUGUAUUACCUGUGUCUGAGGAAGAGGAGGACAUUUAUGUGUUCUGUAUUACCUGUGUCUGAGGAAGAGGAGGACAGGUGUGUGUUCUGUAUUACCUGUGUCUGGGGAAGAGGAGGACAGGUGUGUGUUCUGUAUUACCUGUGUCUGAGGAAGAGGAGGACAGGUGUGUGUUCUGUCUUACCUGUGUCUGAGGAAGAGGAGGACAGGUGUGUGUUCUGUAUUACCUGUGUCUGAGGAAGAGGAGGACAGGUAUGUGUUCUGUAUUACCUGUGUCUGAGGAGGACAGGUAUGUGUUCUGUAUUACCUGUGUCUGAGGAAGAGGAGGACAGGUAUGUGUUCUGUAUUACCUGUGUCUGAGGAAGAGGAGGACAGAUGUGUGUUCUGUAUUACCUGUGUCUGGGGAAGAGGAGGACAGGUGUGUGUUCUGUAUUACCUGUGUCUGAGGAAGAGGAGGACAGGUGUGUGUUCUGUAUUACCUGUGUCUGAGGAAGAGGAGGACAGGUGUGUGUUCUGUCUUACCUGUGUCUGAGGAAGAGGAGGACAGGUAUGUGUUCUGUAUUACCUGUGUCUGA